UGGGGGAUAUUGCACAAUGGGCGAAAGCCUGAUGCAGCGACGCCGCGUGGGGGAUGAAGGCCUUCGGGUUGUAAACUUCUUUUGCUCUGAACAAGGCAUGCCUUUGGGGUGUGUUGAGUGUAGGGGUUGAUUAGCGCCGGCUAACUACGUGCCAGCAGCCGCGGUAAUACGUAGGGCGCGAGCGUUGUCCGGAAUUAUUGGGCGUAAAGGGUUUGUAGGUGGCUGGUUGCGUCUGUCGUGAAAGCUCAUGGCUUAACUGUGGGUUUGCGGUGGGUACGGGCUGGCUUGAGUGCAGUAGGGGAGGCUGGAAUUCCUGGUGUAGCGGUGGAAUGCGCAGAUAUCAGGAGGAAUACCGGUGGCGAAGGCGGGUCUCUGGGCUGUUACUGACGCUGAGGAGCGAAAGCGUGGGGAGCGAACAGG
rnacentral:rRNA from 1 species